rnacentral:misc_RNA from 1 species
AUAAACGCAAGAUGUAUCAUGAACAUCAAUAUUACUUGUUUCCAAGGUCAUGCGUAAAUUGUUUUCUCGUUUGAUGGCAGACCAAAAUAACUUAACAUAAAUAUUCAGUUUGAAGGAUUUUACUUAGAUAGGAAAGGUGGAAAUGCAAAGUACAACAACCAUUUAAUUUGUUUUACAUUUCCUUACAGUCAUGGGGCCAGUGUCAUGGAAGAAUGCAUCAACAUUGAUUGUAUUAGCUAGAAAUCGCCUCAGCCAGGCUGUUAUCAAUAACAAAAACAAUGAUGUGCAAAAACUGCUUCCUGACUAUAGCUGCAUGUUGCUGAAACGUAGUUCCCAAAGUAAAUUCUUUGCUAAUGCUUUUGUCUUUCCUGGAGGAGCCACAGAAGUUGCAGAUUUUUCUCCAUCUUGGCUGGAGCAUUUUGAUGAACAUGGCUUCAAUCGAGAAAAGUUAGCGUCACAGUUUGUUGUAUCCCAGCAAGAUAAAGUUCCUCUGUAUGCUGAUAUUCCAAAUUCAGACUGCAUCCCUGAAGUUGGUUACCGUAUCAGUGCCAUUAGAGAAACAUUUGAGGAAACUGGGGUCCUAUUUUGCAAACCGGCCCAAAUUCAUGGACAGUCCAAUAGCAUCCUUAAAGCUGAUGAUUUGAUAGAAUGGCAAAAACGCAUUCAUCAUAAUCCUGAAGAGUUUCUCAUCUUGUGCAAAAAAUAUUUUUUGCUCCCUGACCUCUGGUCAUUAUAUGAAUGGUCUAACUGGCUUACUCCUACCAAUAUGGGUCCUAAGCGAUAUGAUACCAUGUUUUAUGUCUGUGUCAUAGACAACAUCCCGGAUGUCCGAAUUGAUGGAAAGGAGAUCACGCAAGUUCUGUGGACCGAUCCGUACAAUGCCAUUUUAAAACACGUGCAAGGUCAUAUUUGGUUGGCGCCUCCUCAGCUGUAUGAACUGUGUCGAUUCGCACAGAUCGAUACUGUUGAAGACCUGAAAAUAUUUUGUAAGAGUAGACAACAAAAAGGGAUAGAGCGUUGGCUUCCCAUCCGCUCUCAGUCCGAGGAAGGAUAUACGACCAUACUUCCGGGUAAGUUCUCAGAACUACUUCUUACGUGUCAUGGGAAUAUUACUGUAUGGAGAAAUUCUGUACGUACAGGCGAAAGUUUCUAGCCGAAGAACCUACUGUGUAAUUACGUGUUGCAGUAUUGUACAGUAGGCUAUCCCUUCGAAACUUCUUUGGAAGCCACAGGUGACUCGCUGUACCCGGUACCCAAAGAUACCAACACCCCAAACAUCGAAGAUAGACAAUUAAGCACAAAACAUACGGAAAUAU